rnacentral:snoRNA from 13 species
AAUUAAAGUGCUAAAGUGUCUAAUGAUGAGGACUCAUAGGGCAGAUUCUGAGGUGAGCACUGAACUCAUCACUGAUAAUUGUUUGAUGCGAUCUGAAGACACUUGAAAGUCU